rnacentral:rRNA from 1 species
CAUGCAAGUCGAACGAGAAAAGAAGCUUCGGCUUCUGAGUAAAGUGGCGAACGGGUGCGUAACACGUAAGUAAUCUACCCUAAACUCUGGAAUAACUUCCCGAAAGGGGAGCUAAGACUGGAUAGGGUCCUCGAGGUGUAAGCCGCGGGGGGAAAGCAGGCCUCUGUCACAAGCUUGCGGUUUAGGAUGAGCUUGCGUCCCAUUAGUUUGUUGGUGAGGUAACGGCUUACCAAGGCGAUGACGGAUAGGGGAUCUGAGAGGGUGGCCCCCCACACUGGGACUGAGACACGGCCCAGACUCCUGCGGGAGGCAGCAGUGAGGGAUAUUGCACAAUGGGCGGAAGCCUGAUGCAGCGACGCCGCGUGGGUGAAGAAGGUUUCCGGAUCGUAAAGCCCUUUUCUAUGUGACGAGGAAGGACGGUAGCAUAGGAAAAAGUGUCGGCUAACUACGUGCCAGCAGCCGCGGUAAAACGUAGGACACGAACGUUAUCCGGAGUUACUGGGCGUAAAGCGCGCGCAGGCGGUUGUAUAAGUUUUCUAUGAAAGUCGCUGGCUAAACUGGCGGAAUGUAGGAGAAACUGUACAACUAGAGAGAAAUAGAGGGAAGUAGAAUUCCGGGUGUAGUGGUGAAAUGCGUAGAUAUCCGGAGGAAUAUCAGAGGCGAAGGCGGCUUCCUGGAUUUCCACUGACGCUGAGGCGCGAAAGCGUGGGUAGCGAACGGGAUUAGAAACCCCGGUAGUCCACGCCGUAAACGAUGUACAUUAGGCGUUCGGUAUCCUGCGGGAUAUUGAGUGUCGGAGCAAACGCGAUAAAUGUACCGCCUGGGGAGUACGGUCGCAAGGCUAAAACUCAAAGGAAUUGACGGGGGCCCGCACAAGCAGCGGAGCGUGUGGUUUAAUUCGAUGCAACGCGAAGAACCUUACCUGGGUUUGACAGUGAGGUAGUACGGAAGCGAAAGCGGAAGGACCCGAGAGGGAGCCUUGCCAGGUGCUGCAUGGUUGUCGUCAGCUCGUGCCGUGAGGUGUUCGGUUAAGUCCGCAAACGAGCGCAACCCUCGGGGCUAGUUACAAGUGUCUAGCCUGACUGCCCGUGGCAAACGGGAGGAAGGUGGGGAUGACGUCAAAUCAGCAUGGCCUUGAUAUCCAGGGCGACACACACGCUACAAUGGUCGAUACAAUGGGUGGCGAAGUGGCGACAUGGAGCGAAUCCUGCAAAGUCGGUCACAGUUCGGAUUGCAGGCUGCAACUCGCCUGCAUGAAGUCGGAGUUGCUAGUAACCGCAAAUCAGCACGUUGCGGUGAAUACGUUCCCGGGCCUUGUACACACCGCCCGUCACGUCAUGGGAGUCGGUCGAGCCUGAAGUCGGGAAGCUAACCUGAGGGGGGC